rnacentral:rRNA from 1 species
AGUGAACGCUGGCGGCAGGCCUAACACAUGCAAGUCGAGCGGCAGCGCGUCCGACCACCCUCGGGUGGUCGGAUGGCGGCGAGCGGCGGACGGGUGAGGAAUGCAUCGGAAUCUGCCUCGUUGUGGGGGAUAACGUAGGGAAACUUACGCUAAUACCGCAUACGACCUACGGGUGAAAGUGGGGGACCUUCGGGCCUCACGCGAUGAGAUGAGCCGAUGCCGGAUUAGCUAGUUGGCGGGGUAAAGGCCCACCAAGGCGACGAUCCGUAGCUGGUCUGAGAGGAUGAUCAGCCACACUGGAACUGAGACACGGUCCAGACUCCUACGGGAGGCAGCAGUGGGGAAUGUUGGACAAUGGGGGCAACCCUGAUCCAGCCAUGCCGCGUGUGUGAAGAAGGCCU